rnacentral:lncRNA from 1 species
GUGGACAUCAAAAGGUUCAUAUUGAACCAAAAAAAGAGAGAAGAAGCAAUAUGGCUUCCUCUGUCAUUUCUUCAGCAGCUGUUGCCACACGCAGCAAUGUUACACAAGCUAGCAUGGUUGCACCUUUCACUGGUCUCAAAUCUUCAGCCACUUUCCCUGUUACAAAGAAGCAAAACCUUGACAUCACUUCCAUUGCUAGCAAUGGUGGAAGAGUUAGCUGCAUGCAGGUAACUCACUCAUCGGUUUUCCGAAAUUGAUAUUUUCUUAGUAUGUUGUAACAUGUAAUCUGUCUUAUUUCUCGAUUCAAUUAUCUAAGGGUUAUAUGUAUGUUAGCUACUCUCUCUGGCUUAAUUUAUGUGACGGUAGUACUAUUUUAUUUUAGUUAGUAUAAAAAAGAGUGAUUUACUUUGUUUCAGUUUGUUUGUUUAAUCUUAAUUUAACAUAACUUUUAAGAAAAUUAAAAAGUCUUUUGAAUUUGUAGUUUUAAAUUAAAGUUACGUAGAAUGUAUUAAAAUAUCCUACAUUUUGUGAUUUCAAACAUGUUAACUGUCACGUGAAAAAUUAGAAUUAGAUAAUUAUCAAAAAAAAAAAAAGAGACUUUAGAAGAGUAAUAUAAACAAAUUGAAACAUGAGUAUAUGUAGUUACUGACCUCUGAUCUAGUUUAUGCCAUUAUUAUUUUUCUUUUUAAGUCUGUUUUAAAAGAAUGACAUAUUUUUAUAUUUAAUAGCAGUAUUGAUUUAAGUUUGAAAAAAAUUUCUAUUUUAUCUUUAAUGAGAUGAUUUAUAAUUACAUAAGUAUUUAUAUUAUCUUAGACCAUAAACUACGAAAAUCUCUGUUUAUUCUUAAAAUUCCAUUUACCAUUAAGUACCUCCACAUAAGAAUUAAAAAAAGAGAGUAUCUUUCAAAUUAUCUGAUAAUUCAUAGAAGUUAAAAGAUCCAAUUGCUUAACUUAUCUUUGAUUAUAUUAAACACAUGAAAAGUGUAUCCUACGUAUAAUCUCUACGUUCAAAAUUAAAGACAAAUUUAAGAUCUAGAAUUGAUGAACUCAAAAUAUCUCUAUCUUAUUAUUAUUAUGUAUAUAUACAACUUAAUUUUUCGAAAUGUUGAUGAAUGUAUGUUAAAUCCUUUACAAUAGUGCAUUUUUAGAUAAUUCGAUAAGAGUGUAACAAUAUUUUCAGAAAGUCGAU